UAGCCCCGCCCCUUUUCAGCGCUGCGCUCGUUGUCUUUUGACUUCCGGCGUGUAUUUCCACAGCGAUCUUAUGUAUUUAUGAAAGAACUGCUCAUUUUAAAAUCUUCCCGGUCUACUGACAUUUGUUAAGACAUCUGCUUUAAACAUAACAAUGCUCAUGAUGACUUUCAUUAACUCUACAACAGAUGAGAAAGCUGCAGAGAGAUGGAGCAAAUCAGACUCAUUACAUGCUACUAUUCUGUUUUCCCAUAGGAGGUUGAGAUGAUGGACUUUGGCUGCACUGACCAUUUCAUGAAAUCUCACUGUAAGACACUCAUAGAAAAAAUGCUGUAGACUUCCAAACUCCCACAUCGGACAAAACAUUUCCAUGGCCACUGAUCCACACUGAAUAUAAAAGUAAGUAAGCAUCAUAAGGCUUGUUCGAGAUGCAUCAGCGCUGCACAGACCGAUCGGCGUAUGACAUCAAAGUAACCCGAGAGCGAUUCAAAAGCUUAAGGAGUCGUAUGCUCUCCAAACACUCUCGCGGUACUUUGAUGUCAUACGCCGAUCGGUCUGAGCAGCGCCAAUGCAUCUCGAACAAGCUAAUAGACAAUCAGCAAAAGUGUGCAUCAGUGUGCAACAACAAGGACUCUGGGAGCGACACUGAGGAUGAUGGGAAUGACUCUUAAUCAUUUGACCACUGAUCCAAAGAUCAGAAAGCUGUGGGGAAAAAUAGCAACAUCCUGACAGAGAGAGCAUUACUUGCUUCUAUAUUGUUUUCCCAUAGGAGGUUGAGAUAAUGGACUUUGGCUGCACUAACCAUUUCUUGAAAUCUCACUAUAAGACAUUCAUAGGCUGUAGAGUUCCAAACUCCCACAUCGGACAAAACAUUUCCAUGGCCACUGAUCCACACUGAAUAUAAAAGUAAGUAAGCAUCAUAAGGCUUGUUCGAGAUGCAUCAGCGCUGCACAGACCGAUCGGCGUAUGACAUCAAAGUAACCCGAGAGCGAUUCAAAAGCUUAAGGAGUCGUAUGCUCUCCAAACACUCUCGCGGUACUUUGAUGUCAUACGCCGAUCGGUCUGAGCAGCGCCAAUGCAUCUCCAACAAGCUUAUAGACAAUCAGCAAAAGUGUGCAUCAGUGUGCAACAACAAGGACUCUGGGAGCGACACUGAGGAUGAUGGGAAUGACUCUUAAUCAUUUGACCACUGAUCCAAAGAUCAGAAAGCUGUGGGGGAAAAAUAGCAACAUCCUGACAGAGAGAGCAUUACUUGCUUCUAUAUUGUUUUCCCAUAGGAGGUUGAGAUAAUGGACUUUGGCUGCACUAACCAUUUCAUGAAAUCUCACUAUAAGACAUUCAUAGAAAAAAGGCUGUAGAGUUCCAAACUCCCACAUCGGACAAAACAUUUCCAUAGCCACUGAUCCACACUGAUUAUAAAGGUAAGUAAGCAUCAUAAGGCUUGUUCGAGAUGCAUCAGCGCUGCACAGACCGAUCGGCGUAUGACAUCAAAGUAACCCGAGAGCGAUUCAAAAGCUUAAGGAGUCGUAUGCUCUCCAAACACUCUCGCGGUACUUUGAUGUCAUACGCCGAUCGGUCUGAGCAGCGCCAAUGCAUCUCCAACAAGCUUAUAGACAAUCAGCAAAAGUGUGCAUCAGUGUGCAACAACAAGGACUCUGGGAGUGACACUAAGGAUGAUGGGAAUGACUCUUAAUCAUUUGACCACUGAUCCAAAGGUAUCAGAAAGCUGUGGGGAAAAAAAUAGCAACAUCCUGACAGAGAGAGCAUUACUUGCUUCUAUAUUGGAGGUUGAGAUAAUGGACUUUGGCUGCACUAACCAUUUCAUGAAAUCUCACUAUAAGACAUUCAUAGAAAAACCUGCGGAGAUCUAAACUCCCACAUCGGACAAAACAUUUCCAUAGCCACUGAUCCACACUGAUUAUAAAGGUAAGUAAGUAUCAUGAUAUACUGUAAAGAGCAAACAGUAGAAAACACAUCAUGGUCAUGGUCAUCUCAAAUGGUUCU